GACGAACGCUGGUGGCGUGCCUAACACAUGCAAGUCGAGCGAAGUGAGUACUACGGUACGAACUUAGCGGCGGACCGGUGAGUAACGCGUGGACAAUCUACCCUGUAGACUGGGACAACACCUCGAAAGGGGUGCUAAUACCGGAUAAUGUCGAGAAGCGGCAUCGCUUUUCGAAGAAAGGAGAGAAUCCGCUAUAGGAGGAGUCCGCGUCCCAUUAGCUAGUUGUUGAGGGUAACGGCCCACCAAGGCGACGGUGGGUAGCCGGCCUGGGAGGGUGAACGGCCACACUGGAACUGAGACACUGUCCAGACUCCUACGGGAGGCAGCAGUGGGGAAUAUUGUGCAAUGGGGGAAACCCUGACACAGCAACGCCGCGUGAGCGAAGAAGGCCUUCGGGUUGUAAAGCUCAAUAGUAUGGGAAGAUAAUGACGGUACCAUACGAAAGCCCCGGCUAACUACGUGCCAGCCGCCGCGGUAAUAC
rnacentral:rRNA from 1 species